rnacentral:lncRNA from 1 species
UUUAAUUAAGUUAAUUAACAAUUCUAAAAUUAGAGUUAAUGAUAAAAAAAACAAACAAUAAUUAAAAUCAAUUAAAUAAAUUAAAGGUAAAGGAGAAAUGAAUUUGGGCCUCCUUUUUGGGCCAAUUUUGCUGAAAAUUUUGGCCUUUAAAUCAAUCUCGUUUUUGUAUACACAGGCUGUAUAUUAGUGUAUAUCGAAUGUAUACAGCCCAGUUUUCUGCUUUCCGAGACCUGUACGUCAACUCUAAAGACUUGUUCUUCGAUUUCUCAAAGUUAGAUGACUCGAUAAAAGAAUUUUGGGCCUUUAUGACCCUCUCAAAAUGCGAAGGGAGGAAAGACGGAAGCCUAUGAGGCUCAUCCGAGGGAGUUCAUGCAAGAAAA